rnacentral:rRNA from 1 species
AUGGCAGCUCAGACUGGAGCAGCAGUCCUCCUCGCCAGCCUCCUCCUUGCUCUUGCAGCCAUCGCCAGCAGCAACACUGAAGGCGACAUACUUUACGCGCAAAGGCAGGCGUGGAAUGACCCGAACGGUGUGCUGCAGAGCUGGGAUCCGACCCUUGCCAAUCCCUGCUAUUGGUUUCAUGUCAGCUGCAACAACGAGAACUCCGUCGCCCGAGUGGAUUUGGGGAAUGCAGGCAUCUCAGGCCCCCUCAUUCCUAAACUGGGCCAACUGAAGAGCCUUCGAUACAUGGAGCUGUAUGAGAACAAAAUGAGUGGACCAAUACCGGCGACGCUGGGAAACCUGAAGAGACUGAUCAGCCUUGAUCUUUACAGCAACCAUCUCACAAGCACGAUACCGGCCUCGCUCGGGAACAUAGGGUCGCUGCGUUUCCUAAGGAUCCAUCGGAACAAGCUUGCAGGAGGUAUACCGGCGUCGUUGGGUUGUCUGACGAAGCUUCUCAGGUUGGAGCUUCAGGAGAACAUGCUGACCGGCACGGUGCCGCCGGAGGUCCUCUCUCUUGUUCUUGUCGGAGAAUUGACUAAGCUUAAUGUUGCGGAAAACAAUCUCACCGGCACUGUCAGAUCAUCUAAACAAAAAGUGACUACGGUCAUCCAAGACACGUUCAACUGA